CCUACGGGUGGCAGCAGUGGGGAAUAUUGCUCAAUGGGCGAAACCCUGAAGCAGCAACGCCGCGUGGAGGAUGAAGGUUUUCGGAUUGUAAACUCCUUUUGUUCGGGAAGAUACUGACGGUAUCUAACGAAUAAGCACCGGCUAACUACGUGCCAGCAGCCGCGGUAAUACGGCGGGUGCAAGCGUUACUCGGAAGCACUGGGCGUAAAGAGCGCGUAGGCGGGAUAGCAAGUCAGAUGUGAAAUCCUAGGGCUUAACCAUAGAACUGCAUUUGAAACUGUUAUUCUAGAGUAUGGGAGAGGUAGGCGGAAUUCGUGGUGUAGGGGUAAAAUGCGUAGAGAUCAAGAGGAAUACUCAUGGCGAAGGCGACCUGCUAGAACAUAACUGACGCUGAGGCGCGAAAGCGUGGGGAGCAAACAGGAUUAGAUACCCCAGUAGUC
rnacentral:rRNA from 1 species